CAGCAAGGAGCAGGAAGCGCUUGUUAGGAAGGAGCGAGGAAAUGGAGCCUCUGCCCCAACCCAAGCAAACUUUUGAGGACCGGAAAGUGGGAGUAGGAAGGUGUAAAAGUGCUUUGAGCUUUGGCAGGGGAUUGCAGAGGGCAAAGGGUGAAGGGAGAGGGACAAACACCGCCGCAGAACUCAAGGAGGGGGCAGCCCGUGUGUGCGUGCCGUGGAGGGGACUUCACGGUGGAGCUGCUAAUUAAAUAAAGAAAGGCUCGUCGCCAUGCCUGUUAGGUUAACUCAGCGGGGAUAUUGCAAAAGCAAAUUCCUCCCAGCAAGUGUAAUUAGGGGGCCGGAAUUCCUCCAGUUCCUUGUCCUUGCUGUGGAUUCUGCUAAAGCCAUCAGGUGAGGGGGAACAAGAAAGUCCAAUGCAAUAACAACCCCCUCCCGGAGAGGCAAGGAUUUCACAUCAAGGCUUGACACUUUUCUCACUGAUUAUUCCAGGGUGGAAAGUACGCGUCAGACAAAACAGUCAGGGUCGCAGGGCUGCUUCCCCCAGGGCAGCACGCUCACAUUAGGGGUGGAAAGAAGACAGCGAGGGGUCUGGGCAGGGCACUGUCAGGAUUUGGGAGGUGCCCACAUGCAGGAUCCAGCCCCAUCUGCUUGGCUGAGAAUUUACAGCACUCAGACUGCUACAUCCCAGUGGAUCAUCGGAACUUUGGGAUCCCUGGGCUCAUCAUGGUACCCUGUGCUUACAUGAGGAGGGAAGAUGCUCAUAGGAGCCAGCACGUGAAGAUGUCUCACCUGAUUCUGGGCCACAACAGGACUGCAGCUGGGGUUUCCCUCCAGCUGUGUGGAAUUACACUUAGAGCUGGUCCACGAAGAGCCCACAAGCAGUUGUCCCUGCCUGAGCAUCGCUGGGGCAUGCAGCAUCCCUGCCUGCUGCCCUGACCCCCCCACUGCAAGGAGAGGUCCCAUCCUCUGACCCAGAUGCCUUGUGCCUGUGUAGAGGUUUAUCCAAGAAAUGGAACUGUGGCUGUCCUGCAGCAGUGGCCACAUGAAGCCCUCCUGUCGGUGCACGAGGAGUGCCACCAGUGUGGGAAGAGAUCGCUUCAGGAAGAGCUGCAAAGAGGAGGAUAUGGCAAAUCUCUGCGGAGGGUGACCAAGCUCCGCGUUCCCAAACCCCUCCUUUCUUGGCUAUGUGCCCCAUGCCUGCUCUCCGGAGAGGUGACCCACUCCCCAUCCCUCCCCAUCCUUUACAUAGGAGAUGCGCUGGGCUCUCAGUGUUGUUCCCUUUCCUGUGGAGGCAAAUAGCAGCCCUUCCAACCUUUUGGUUCCACAUUCUGCAUAGGAGCAAAACUAAUCAGAGUCCCAGCGGAGUUCAGCUUUAAUUACCCAUGAGAUGCUAAUCUGCUGCAGGGUCUACAUGCUCCUCCAUCCAAGCUUUGCAAUUCCCCUGGCACAUGUCUCCCGAUUCCCCACAGCCUCCCCAGGCAAUUUGCUCUGAACAAGAUCACAAGUGAAAUUCCUAGCCCAGAAAAGCUUCUGUGCAGAGCAGCAUAGAAAAAGCCCAGCUCUGCUGCAGAAGGACGUUGGAGGUCUUCUCCAUCAGCCAGAGACUCCACCUGGGAUUCCCGAUGCCCCGUGUAAGAUGUCUCAAGCACAGCUGAAGGAAAGAAUCCGAGGAAUUCUCAUGCCUUAGUUCCCUGAAUUCUUCCCUGGCAAUGCCUUCCUCUCUGUGCAGUGCGGACUGAGAUGCUUUGGGAACCUUGCUGGCUCCAGCUCUGUGCACUUGAUAAGCAGCCAAGCCUGGAGGAAAUAAGGGAUACCCUUGGAAAACAACAGCUGGAGUUCAGGUGGAUCCUCAAGCAAGCCAGAAAUUAUCAGCCUGUGCCUGGCCAGGCUGGACUGACUACCGCUCUGGUGACAGAGUGGACAAUGGCUGUGGCUGAGUUGGCAGCAGUGGAGGACACAGUAGGUGCAGGAGGAAAGCAAGCACAGUCUGAGCCACACAGCAGAGACUGAGCUCCUUGAUCUCUCUCCUGAUGAGGAUUGUUUCUUCAGCAGCACCUGAGAAAGGUCAACCACCAGGGGGAGGAUCUGCUAGCCAGAAACCCACGUGCAAUGGGGCUUUUGCUAAACAAUUUAGAUUAAUUUUAAC
ensembl:lncRNA